CCUACGGGAGGCAGCAGUGAGGAAUAUUGGUCAAUGGCCGGAAGGCUGAACCAGCCAAGCCGCGUGAAGGACGAAGGUGCCAAGCAUUGUAAACUUCUUUUGUCAAGGGACAAAAUCAGGCUCGAGAGCCUGACCGAGGGUACUUGAAGAAAAAGCAUCGGCUAACUCCGUGCCAGCAGCCGCGGUAAUACGGAGGAUGCGAGCGUUAUCCGGAUUUAUUGGGUUUAAAGGGUGCGUAGGCGGGCUGUUAAGUCAGCGGUAAAAGCCCGGGGCUCAACCCCGGCGAGCCGUUGAAACUGGCUGUCGUGAGAUGUCGUGAGGUAUGCGGAAUGCGCAGUGUAGCGGUGAAAUGCUUAGAGAUCACGAAGAACCCCGAUUGCGAAGGCAGCCUGCCGCAGCGUUACUGACGCUGAAGCUCGAAAGCGCGGGUAUCGAACAGGAUUAGAUACCCCAGUAGUC
rnacentral:rRNA from 1 species